rnacentral:lncRNA from 1 species
AGAAGGCCUUGGAGGUGCCCAGGGCCAGACCCUGGCCUAUGAAGAAGGAACCCUCUGCGGCAUGCCAGAGCAGCCCAGGUCCACAUGAGGGGAAAACAAACCUACCGCAUCCUCACUCAGGACACCUAAAAUGGAGAGCUGUAAGGGAGCAAUGCAACCUGGAGAAAUCCUGUGCAUGUGCAGGAAAUGAAGAUUCCUCUUUGGAAGGUAUAUAUGUACUGAGCCUCUAACUACAUAAAAGAAGCCAGCAGGCAACUCUCUGACACCGCAUACUGCAAAAAACUAGAGGAAGAUCCUAUUACCCUUUUCACCUUAAAACUCAAAACUAUCAUCAAAUCAUUUCCAUCUGAACUACAAGAAAAACUGCAGAACUUGAUCUCCCCCACUAC